GGAGUUUGGACCGUGUCUCAGUUCCAAUGUGGGGGACCUUCCUCUCAGAACCCCUACUGAUCGUCGGCUCGGUGGGCCGUUACCCCGCCGACUACCUAAUCAGACGCAUCCCCAUCCCAUAGCGGUGAACCUUUGUUCCAAAUCAGAUGUCAUCUUCGGAAAACAUAGGGUAUUAAUCCGCAUUUCUACGGGCUAUGCCCUACUAUGGGGAAGGUUGGAUACGCGUUACUCACCCGUGCGCCGGUCGCCAUCAUUGGUAGCAAGCUACCAAUAUGCUGCCCCUCGACUUGCAUGUGUUAAGCCUGUAGCUAGCGUUCAUC
rnacentral:rRNA from 1 species